rnacentral:rRNA from 1 species
UACGAAGGGGGCUAGCGUUGUUCGGAAUCACUGGGCGUAAAGCGCACGUAGGCGGAUUUUUAAGUCAGGUGUGAAAUCCCGAGGCUCAACCUCGGAACUGCCUUUGAUACUGGAGAUCUUGAGUCCGGAAGAGGUAAGUGGAACUGCGAGUGUAGAGGUGAAAUUCGUAGAUAUUCGCAAGAACACCAGUGGCGAAGGCGGCUUACUGGUCCGGAACUGACGCUGAGGUGCGAAGGCGUGGGGAGCAAACAGG